rnacentral:lncRNA from 10 species
UUUACAGCCACUCCCCUUUGCUCACAUUCCCGCCUGAGCUCCACCUUCUCAGAUGAGCAGCAGCAUUAGAUGCUCAUAGGAGAACGCACCCUGUUGUGAACUGUGCAUGUGAGGGAUCUGGGUUGCGCUGUCCUUAUGAGAGUCUAAUACCUAUUGAUCUGUCACUUUCUCCCAUCACGCUCAGGUGGGAACAUCCAGUUGCAGGAAAACAAGCUUAACACGCCCACUGAUUCUACAUUAUGCUCCUACCUCCCGGCAGCCUCUCCAGGCCCAGAACUUUCUCCAGUCAGCCUCUACAGACCAAGCUCAUGACUCUCAAUGGCCUAUUUAGGCCCAUACCCUACGUCACGGCAGCCUCCGCAGAUGAGGCUACUGCCUCACAACAGCCUCCACAGGCACAGCUCCAUCGUUACAAUGGCCUCUUUAGACCCAGCUCCUGCCUCCCAGCCUUCUCUCCAGGCCCUGAACUUUCUCAGGUCUCCCUCUGUUGUCCAAGGCUGGAGUGUAGUAGUGCUAUCGCAGCUGACUGCAGCCUCAACCUUCCAGGCUGAAGCGAUCCUCCCACCU